GGAGGAAAUAGCAGCAGAUGGCAUCCAAUUGACUUCAAGUGGAGCCACCGCCACAGUCAUCCUUCCAAAAUUAAAGUUUUUGAAUCUGUGUUGGCUGCCACAAUUGAAUAAUAUUUGCAAGGCAGCCUUGAUCUGCAAUUCAAUCUGUCAGAUUGAAAUAUCCGGUUGUCCAAAGGCAAAGAGGCUGCCUUUGUUUCUUCCUACCAUCAACGGACUGCCAUCUCUUCCUAGCACUCUUCAUAAAAUCAAGGGAGAUAAAGAGUGGUGGGAAUCGUUAGAGUGGGAAAAUCCUUGUGCCAAAAAUGCCCUUGACCCAUAUUUUACCACGCAGUAGCGGAUCCCAUUUGCUUGAUGAAGACCACCUGUUUGAUCAAAAUCCUGACGGAUUCUCAUGUUACCAGGUAGCCACAAAAUUGCUGCUGCAAGAGAGUUGAUGUUGCAAAAACAAGUGUUAAAUGAAGCUUUGUCCACCAACGCCAAAUUUCUUUCAGGCUGGCCUCAUUUUGAGGACAACAAACCACAUUUGCAAGAUAUGGAGCUAGGGAAGACCAGCAAUCUUUAGCCAAUGUUGUGCACUCAAUAUAAUUUCAGUCGAGGAAAAGUUCAACAUACAAUGCCCUGAAAAAUCAAACACACAAUCAAUCAGCCAUUGAUAACAACCUCUUACCUAGGUGAACAUGAAGACUAAAGCAACUUGAAGACUAGAAUGAUUUUUUUGGAUGAAUGAAUGUCAUUGAAACUCGGCUAUUCUUCUGCUAUUCCAUCCUUGUACAUCAAAUUUUCGUCAAUCACAAGACUUGAUACAAUCAGUUCAGAUGCCACUCUGUUACAGAAAUCUAAUGUUUUAUGUAACAGUGCACAAGCCCUAUGAUAUUGCUAAGAAAUGGUAAAACCUCACCUUCAUGAAAUACCACUUAUUCUUAGUUUGAAUUUUAUUUCAGGUUUCUAAGGUGGCAGGGAUAUGUUGAACUGAAAUUCCAUGACUGGUGGGCUAUCUUGGUCAAAAAGAGGGCCUUGUUAACUGAGAACUGGAGUCGCCAGCCAUUUUUCGUACUAACUACUUUUAUUGUAGUCUUUACUAUACUAAAAGCGGGAGUACGGAGUGCUACAGUAAAAUUGGGCUGGUUAUAGUGCGAUUUGUGUGAGCUUGUGGGGCGGUUUGGUCUUUUGCCAUUCAGUGGUGUUCGCUUUGCUGGAAAUUCACUUCUGUCCGCGUGGCUCUCUUGCGUGGAAACAUUUCCUCUUGGUCAGCAAUUUCCUCUUCAUGUGAUUAGCAUUAGCCUUAGUGGUGCUUCAUUUUUCGAUAAUGCCAUUUGCUGUUUCUCUCUUACUUAGGACACCGGAAGAUGCAUGCUAUAUUAUUUUGGUUCCUUUGUAAUUUAUUUGUUCUUUGUACCUCUUUUGUUUGAGUCAUUGUUGCCCCUUGUGAUCCGGAGAGAUGGGCCACCU